CUACGUGCCAGCAGCCGCGGUAAUACGUAGGUGGCAAGCGUUGUCCGGAAUUAUUGGGCGUAAAGCGCGCGCAGGCGGAUUGGUCAGUCUGUCUUAAAAGUUCGGGGCUUAACCCCGUGAUGGGAUGGAAGCUGCCAAUCUAGAGUAUCGGAGAGGAAAGUGGAAUUCCUAGUGUAGCGGUGAAAUGCGUAGAUAUUAGGAAGAACACCAGUGGCGAAGGCGACUUUCUGGACGAAAACUGACGCUGAGGCGCGAAAGCCAGGGGAGCGAACGGGAUUAGAUACCCCGGUAGUCCUGGCCGUAAACGAUGGGUACUAGGUGUAGGAGGUAUCGACCCCUUCUGUGCCGGAGUUAACGCAAUAAGUACCCCGCCUGGGGAGUACGACCGCAAGGUUGAAACUCAAAGGAAUUGACGGGGGCCCGCACAAGCGGUGGAGUAUGUGGUUUAAUUCGACGCAACGCGAAGAACCUUACCAGGUCUUGACAUUGAUGGACAGAACUAGAGAUAG
rnacentral:rRNA from 1 species